UACGUAGGCAGCGAGCGUUGUUCGGAAUUACUGGGCGUAAAGAGUGUGUAGGCGGCUCGUUAAGUGUGAAGUGAAAUCUCUAGGGCUCAAUCCAGAAACUGCUUUACAUACUGGCGAGCUGGAGUGAUGAAGAGGUUUGUGGAAUUCCUGGUGUAGCGGUGAAAUGCGUUGAUAUCAGGAGGAACACCCAUGGCGAAGGCAGCAAACUGGUCAUCAACUGACGCUGAGGCGCGAAAGCGUGGGUAGCAAACAGG
rnacentral:rRNA from 1 species